rnacentral:rRNA from 1 species
UACGGAGGGGGCUAGCGUUGUUCGGAAUCAUUGGGCGUAAAGGGCGCGUAGGCGGCCGGCCAAGUCGGAUGUGAAAUCCCUCGGCUCAACCGAGGAACUGCACUCGAUACUGGUUGGCUAGAGUCCGGGAGGGGAUGGUGGAAUUCCCAGUGUAGCGGUGAAAUGCGUAGAUAUCAGGAGGAACACCCGUGGCGAAGGCGGCUCUCUGGCCUGCAACUGACGCUGAGGCGCGAAAGCGUGGGGAGCGAACGGG